rnacentral:rRNA from 1 species
CUACGGGUGCUGCAGUGGGGAAUAUUGGACAAUGGGCGAAAGCCUGAUCCAGCCAUGCCGCGUGUGUGAAGAAGGCCUUCGGGUUGUAAAGCACUUUCAGUGGGGAAGAAAGCCUUGGGGCUAAUACCCUCGAGGAAGGACAUCACCCACAGAAGAAGCACCGGCUAACUCCGUGCCAGCAGCCGCGGUAAUACGGAGGGUGCGAGCGUUAAUCGGAAUUACUGGGCGUAAAGCGCGCGUAGGCGGUCUGAUAAGCCGGUUGUGAAAGCCCCGGGCUCAACCUGGGAACGGCAUCCGGAACUGUCAGGCUAGAGUGCAGGAGAGGAAGGUAGAAUUCCCGGUGUAGCGGUGAAAUGCGUAGAGAUCGGGAGGAAUACCAGUGGCGAAGGCGGCCUUCUGGACUGACACUGACGCUGAGGUGCGAAAGCGUGGGUAGCAAACAGGAUUAGAUACCCGAGUAGUC